AUUGAACGCUGGCGGCAGGCCUAACACAUGCAAGUCGAACGGUAACAGGAAGCAGCUUGCUGCUUCGCUGACGAGUGGCGGACGGGUGAGUAAUGUCUGGGAAACUGCCUGAUGGAGGGGGAUAACUACUGGAAACGGUAGCUAAUACCGCAUAACGUCGCAAGGCCAAAGAGGGGGACCUUAGGGCCUCUUGCCAUCGGAUGUGCCCAGAUGGGAUUAGCUAGUAGGUGGGGUAACGGCUCACCUAGGCGACGAUCCCUAGCUGGUCUGAGAGGAUGACCAGCCACACUGGAACUGAGACACGGUCCAGACUCCUACGGGAGGCAGCAGUGGGGAAUAUUGCACAAUGGGCGCAAGCCUGAUGCAGCCAUGCCGCGUGUAUGAAGAAGGCCUUCGGGUUGUAAAGUACUUUCAGCGGGGAGGAAGGGAGUAAAGUUAAUACCUUUGCUCAUUGACGUUACCCGCAGAAGAAGCACCGGCUAACUCCGUG
rnacentral:rRNA from 1 species